GACGAACGCUGGCGGCGUGCCUAAUACAUGCAAGUCGAGCGAAGUUUUUCUGGUGCUUGCACUAGAAAAACUUAGCGGCGAACGGGUGAGUAACACGUAAAGAACCUGCCUCAUAGACUGGGACAACUAUUGGAAACGAUAGCUAAUACCGGAUAACAGUAUUUCUCGCAUGAGAGAUAUUUAAAAGUUGGUUAUGCUAACACUAUGAGAUGGCUUUGCGGUGCAUUAGCUAGUUGGGGGGGUAAAGGCCCACCAAGGCGACGAUGCAUAGCCGACCUGAGAGGGUGAUCGGCCACACUGGGACUGAGACACGGCCCAGACUCCUACGGGAGGCAGCAGUAGGGAAUCUUCCGCAAUGGGCGAAAGCCUGACGGAGCAACGCCGCGUGAGUGAAGAAGGAUUUCGGUUCGUAAAGCUCUGUUGUUAGGGAAGAAUGGAUAUGUAGUAACUAUACAUGUAAGAGACGGUACCUAACCAGAAAGCCACGGCUAACUACGUG
rnacentral:rRNA from 1 species